AAAUAUAAUGGUUACUGAUUCAUUAGAAGGCAAAGACAAUAUUAUUACAGACGUGGAACAACAUCAAGAGAAAUAAUAGCAGAGGCUGCUGAAAAACAAAUAUUCAAUUAUAUGGAUGAAAAAUUAAAAAUAAUUCACAGCUUGAAGAAUACUAAUGAAAAGUUACAAAUUAAGAAAAACAAAUAUAAAGAGACAAAUUCUCAAAUUUGUCAACAAUACUCGAGUUUGAAAAAACAAAAUCUGAUUAUGAGAAGUUGAGAUAACAGAAAAGAAACCUAGGACCAAACAUAUUGGAAUAUUAACAGACUUAAGCAACAUUGGUUCAUUAGUGAAAUUUAAAUCAAAAUCCGUACGAAAAUGGGAAACAGCUACACAGAAUAAGGAAAAUUUGAUGUCAAAUAAUUAUUAAUAGUUAUAUAAUAUUAAUUCACGUUGGGAAGAAAAUAAAUUUAAAUUUAAUA